rnacentral:rRNA from 1 species
GACGAACGCUGGCGGCGUGCUUAACACAUGCAAGUCGAACGGAAAGGCCCUGCUUUUGUGGGGUGCUCGAGUGGUGAACGGGUGAGUAACACGUGAGUAACCUGCCCUUGACUUUGGGAUAACUUCAGGAAACUGGGGCUAAUACCGGAUAGGAGCUCCUGCUGCAUGGUGGGGGUUGGAAAGUUUCGGCGGUUGGGGAUGGACUCGCGGCUUAUCAGCUUGUUGGUGGGGUAGUGGCUUACCAAGGCUUUGACGGGUAGCCGGCCUGAGAGGGUGACCGGCCACAUUGGGACUGAGAUACGGCCCAGACUCCUACGGGAGGCAGCAGUGGGGAGUAUUGCACAAUGGGCGGAAGCCUGAUGCAGCAACGCCGCGUGCGGGAUGACGGCCUUCGGGUUGUAAACCGCUUUCGCCUGUGACGAAGCGUGAGUGACGGUAAUGGGUAAAGAAGCACCGGCUAACUACGUG